GAGUUUGAUCGUGGCUCAGAUUGAACGCUGGCGGCAGGCCUAACACAUGCAAGUCGAGCGGAUGACGGGAGCUUGCUCCUUGAUUCAGCGGCGGACGGGUGAGUAAUGCCUAGGAAUCUGCCUGGUAGUGGGGGACAACGUUUCGAAAGGAACGCUAAUACCGCAUACGUCCUACGGGAGAAAGCAGGGGACCUUCGGGCCUUGCGCUAUCAGAUGAGCCUAGGUCGGAUUAGCUAGUUGGUGGGGUAAUGGCUCACCAAGGCGACGAUCCGUAACUGGUCUGAGAGGAUGAUCAGUCACACUGGAACUGAGACACGGUCCAGACUCCUACGGGAGGCAGCAGUGGGGAAUAUUGGACAAUGGGGCGAAAGCCUGAUCCAGCCAUGCCGCGUGUGUGAAGAAGGUCUUCGGAUUGUAAAGCACUUUAAGUUGGAGGAAGGGCAGUAAGUUAAUACCUUGCUGUUUUGACGUUACCGACAGAAUAAGC
rnacentral:rRNA from 2 species